rnacentral:piRNA from 1 species
UGGGGCCCAUCACAUUCCCACUGACUCAGAU